GGGAAACACUAGUGUGUUAAUCCGCGAAUCCCUUUGGUGGCACGAACAGACGACAAAGUGCGCGCGUCUGAGUACAGCGUGUAAAAGAAUAAUAGGCGUUACAAUGUUGAAAAUUAACAAACUUUCAGAUAAAGUAUAUAUCAUUUGAAGGAAUAUUUUCAGAAUGUUGGUCGAUCAAAAUUACAAAAUUAACAAAUCGAAACAAAACGUUUUCUGUGCACAUCUCUAAUUACCAGUUGGAAUUAAGUAAGCUCUUUAGUGAGCAAUACCAUUGUGUGCUAUAUACUGUAUUUAAGUCCUAGGGCUCCCUCUGCUGGA